rnacentral:rRNA from 1 species
GAUGAACGCUGGCGGCGUGCCUAAUACAUGCAAGUCGAGCGAACGGACGAGAAGCUUGCUUCUCUGAUGUUAGCGGCGGACGGGUGAGUAACACGUGGAUAACCUACCUAUAAGACUGGGAUAACUUCGGGAAACCGUAGCUAAUACCGGAUAAUAUUUUGAACCGCAUGGUUCAAAAGUGAAAGACGGUCUUGCUGUCACUUAUAGAUGGAUCCGCGCUGCAUUAGCUAGUUGGUAAGGUAACGGCUUACCAAGGCAACGAUGCAUAGCCGACCUGAGAGGGUGAUCGGCCACACUGGAACUGAGACACGGUCCAGACUCCUACGGGAGGCAGCAGUAGGGAAUAUUCCGCAAAGGGCGAAAGCCUGACGGAGCAACGCCGCGUGAGUGAUGAAGGUCUUCGGAUCGUAAAACUCUGUUAUUAGGGAAGAACAGAUGUGUAAGUAACUGUGCACAUCUUGACGGUACCUAAUCAGAAAGCCACGGCUAACUACGUG